rnacentral:rRNA from 1 species
GACGAACGCUGGCGGCGUGCUUAACACAUGCAAGUCAAACGGAGAAUUUAUUUCGGUAAAUUCUUAGUGGCGAACGGGUGAGUAACGCGUGGGCAACCUGCCCUUCAGAUGGGGACAACAUCCCGAAAGGGGUGCUAAUACCGAAUACGAUCAUAAUUCCGCAUGGAGAUAUGAUGAAAGAUGGCCUCUAUUUAUAAGCUAUCGCUGAAGGAUGGGCCUGCGUCUGAUUAGCUAGUUGGUGGGGUAACGGCCUACCAAGGCGAUGAUCAGUAGCCGGUCUGAGAGGAUGAACGGCAACAUUGGGACUGAGACACGGCCCAAACUCCUACGGGAGGCAGCAGUGGGGAAUAUUCCGCAAUGGACGAAAGUCUGACGGAGCAACGCCGCGUGAGUGAUGAAGGUUUUCGGACUGUAAAGCUCUGUUGUUUAGGACGAAAGUGCCUGUUGCAAAUAGUUGCAGGUAUUGACGGUACUGAACGAGGAAGCCACGGCUAACUACGUGCCAGCCGCCGCGGUAACAC